GCAAAAAGUAGGGUGCUAGGUUUGGCUACAUCAGACCAAACAGGGCUUGAGAUGCUGGGACACAGGUCUGUACAGAGAACUCUGAAACAGAAAGCAAGUCAGAAGAUAAUUUCUCUUGAAGGCAUUUCAGGCACCUGCCGUUCCAAUUGGGCUCUUUUGGAAAGAAGCAUCCAGUGGGAUGAAUGCAAGAAUCAAGGCAGAAGUAGUUUGAUACGAUUUGGAGUUUCAGGACUGCAUGCUGAACUCAGCCCUAGUGCUCAAGCUUUGAGAACAUUCAAUCCUUGCAGUCUGUUCUCCUACAACCUAUAAUGGCCUCAUGGGAGCUACAACUAGUC
rnacentral:lncRNA from 1 species